CCUACGGGCGGCAGCAGUGAGGAAUAUUGGUCAAUGGGCGGAAGCCUGAACCAGCCAAGUAGCGUGCGGGAUGACGGCCCUACGGGUCGUAAACCGCUUUUGCACGGGGAUAACACCCUCCACUUGUGGAGGUCUGCAGGUACCGUGCGAAUAAGGGACGGCUAAUUCCGUGCCGGCCGCCGCGGUAAUACGGAAGGCCCGGGCGUUAUCCGGAUUCAUUGGGGUUAAAGGGAGCGUAGGCGGGCGUUAAAGUCAGCUGUAAAAUCGCGGGGCUCAACCGCGCCCCGCAGUUGAAACUGGACGGCUUGAGUUCACAACAGGCAGGCGGAAUGCGUGGUGUAGCGGUGAAAUGCAUAGAUAUCACGAGGAACCCCGAUUGCGAAGGCAGCCUGCCGGGGUGCGACUGACGCUGAGGCUCGAAGGUGCGGGUAUCAAACAGGAUUAGAUACCCGGGUAGUC
rnacentral:rRNA from 1 species